GAGAGAGAUGCUUUAGAGUGUCAACUUGUUUUCAGAAAGGGUGUGGAAAUCUGGUUUGCAGUUCACUUUAAAAGUUACUUCUUUGUGACAACCUUGGGUCUCGAAUGCAAAGCAAGCUUCUUUCUUGCAACGUGUCAGUUUGCUAAACUCCAUAAGAUUUGUUUUUCCAGAUCUCAGCCCUUUGCCUCUCAUGCUAUUUGAUCCAAGAACAUCAGAAAAAUAUUAUAUCGAACUAGCAGUGGGACAUCUUGAAGCACAGCACAGUGUAACGUUGAGAACAAAGACAGGGUGUAAGGCGUGAUGAUCUUUCCUUUCUCCAUGCAUUAUCCAUGACUAUCUAGUGAUAGUCACUCAGGGUAGGGGAACCGAGAGGAACUCUGUAACUGCUGCCUGGAGCACCACACACAUUGGAUGCCCAGUCUGUGGUCCCUUACUGCACCACCACUUUGGAUGCUAUUCUAAAGCUGAGCAGUAUAGUAGGAUCCCCUGGAAGUCAGUGCUGGCAGAGAGCCAUGAGAGCAGGCUUACAGCACAGUCCCUCUCAGUCCGGAAUACUAAAGACGGAGCAUGCUGCUUAUCCUCUUAGCUUUCAGUGAAGCCUCAGAUAAACCAGAAUAGCUUAUGGCCCAUUAGGAUGCAGGUGGUAUAGGAUGCUAAGCACCUCAUCACUGUGGCUAAGUACCCAGGAGCAAAAUCAUGAUUUAUACAUUUUCCAGUCUUCUUUGUCUAGAAUUUUGAAGACUGGGGCUCUGCAGAGACUGGCUGGUGAAAAGCGCAGAAGCUGACACCAUGUUUGGAUACCCUCCAGUGUUCAGUUGCAUGUCCAGCCCAUCAUAUUCUCCAGUGCAGGAUCAUCAGUCUUUCUCCGAGGAGCUGGAGGCCUUGGGAGUGGGAGCCACUCGCGGCUUAAUCCUUCGCGCGCCGAAACACCAUGCUCUUGCUGGAGCUGCUGGGAAUAUUCACUGUAAAGGACACAGAAACGAUCUCCUUCCUACACUCGAGAAGAAAUUAUUCCACAUCCCAUAGAACAGGCAUCUUCCACGUGGCAUCCCAGCAAUUUGGACCGCGUACCUUGCAUACGUGCUGCUUUGACCAUAUGGCUAUGAGGAUAGGCUCAGAUGAAGGAGAUGGGCGUACAGGAGAGAGGACAAGGACUGCAAAUGGGAACAAGGUGUGCGACAGCAGCAUAAGAAAACGUGUGACAGGCGAUUUGGAAGAAGCUGGAGCAAAAAAGCAGCACAAGAAGUGAGAAUGAGCAAGAAGAAAUGUGAAAGAAGUAAAGAGAGAAAGAUUGCAGAAACCAUGGAAACAGGAAAUAUUAUAGCAAAAUGUAUUAGUAAAGCACCAGGGGUCAGCUUAAGGUAUAAAUGAGCAUUUUCAGAAAGAAUACACAAAACCAAAC
rnacentral:lncRNA from 1 species